rnacentral:rRNA from 1 species
CCUACGGGGCGCUGCAGUGAGGAAUAUUGGUCAAUGGGCGCGAGCCUGAACCAGCCAAGUAGCGUGAAGGAUGACUGCCCUACGGGUUGUAAACUUCUUUUAUAAAGGAAUAAAGUGAGGCACGUGUGCCGUUUUGUAUGUACUUUAUGAAUAAGGAACGGCUAACUCCGUGCCAGCAGCCGCGGUAAUACGGAGGAUCCGAGCGUUAUCCGGAUUUCUUGGGUUUAAAGGGAGCGUAAAUGGGUUGUUAAGUCAGGUGUGAAAGUUUGCGGCUUAACCGUAAUAUUGCAAGUGAUACUGGCAGUCUUGAGUACAGUUGAGGUAGGCGGAAUUCGUGGUGUAGCGGUGAAAUGCUUAGAUAUCACGAAGAACUCCGAGUGCGAAGGCAGCUUACUAAACUGCCACUGACAUUGAUGCUCGAAAGUGUGGGUAUCAAACAGGAUUAGAUACCCGAGUAGUC